CUUUAUUCCCACAGCCCGACACCUAUUUUUUCCCCUUCUUUCCAUCUCUCUCUCUCUCUCUCUCUCUCUCUCGGCAUCUCCCAUCCUCCACGCUGCGACACCACCGUCGGUAAGCCUAUCUCUCCGUUUACUCUCUCAACUUGGGUGUUCCUGUUACAUUGUCAGAACGUUGCCCGACUGCCACCGUAACCCCACUCGUGCCACCACAACCGUAGUGUGCCGUAACACAUUGGGUUGUAAUACUGCUAUGGUUCAGGUUCAAAGCUUAGAUGACUCUCCAAAAGUCAGGGAAGCGGUAGAUGGCAUUAAGGCGAAUUUUGGGGUUUUCUGAUGGUGAGCUGAUGCGGGCGGAUGCAAAACCUUGUUCCAGAUUGAUGAGACAAACAGCUGGAAUUUUUACAGUUGGAGGAGGAUUGGCGUUUUGGAUUCUUUGUAGAUUGCAUUAUUGUUUUCUGUUGGUCUUUUUUGCCUGGUUAUUUAUUUUUU